UUACCAGGCGACGCCGAGCGCCGGCAAGCUGGUACUUGUAGUCCGCCCGGAAGAGGCAGGCGCUAGCGCGGCGACAGCCCAGCGACCCCUGCGCGUGCGCGACGCUGAGGAAGCCGGCCCGGAAGGUUCGAUUUUGCCGGUGGCUGUUCUUACCUCAGCUUUUGGAGGAGCAGGGAACCCAGGCUGUUCAGCGUCUCUUGUGGAGUGAAUUCGGGGCGGUUUCUCCUGAGUUAGGGAGUGUGUACUGUGCUGUGCUCACUUGCUUCAGUUGUGUCCGACUCUUUGUGACCUGUGGACUGUAGCCUGCCAGGCUCCUCUGUUCAUAGGAUUCUCCAGGAGAUCUUAGUUCCCCAGUCAGGGAUCCAACUGAUGCCCCCUACAGUGGAAAUGUGGAGUCCUAACCACUGGACCACCAGGGAAUUCCCCUCCGUGUCCUUGUGGAACUUACAUUUUUGUAAGGCUAGACAGAACUGUGGUGCUGGAGAAGAUGAAGAUCAGAUCAGUCAAUCCUAAAGGAAAUCAACCCUGAAUACUCAUUGGAAGGACUGAUGCUGAAGUUGAAGCUCCAAUACUUUGGCCACCUAA